AUUGAACGCUGGCGGCAUGCCUUACACAUGCAAGUCGAACGGCAGCACGGUUACUUGUUGCUCUUACCGAGUGCCGAACGCGUGCGUAUUACAUCUGCAUCUGUCCCUACUUUUUGGUUAGCGCGGAGAAAGCGGGACUAAUACUGCUACCGCAUUCCGCCUGAAAGUGAGGGACCGUCGUCUUCCGCGCUUGCGCGUUGGCCUGUGCCGAUGUCGGAUUAGCUAGUUGGCGGGGUAAAGGCCGACCAAGGCGACGAUCCGUAGCUGGUCUGAGAGGAUGACCAGCCACACUGGAACUGAGACACGGCCCAGACUCCUACGGGAGGCAGCAGUGGGGAAUAUUGGACAAUGGGCGAAAGCCUGAUCCAGCAAUACCGCGUGGGUGAAGAAGGCCUUCGGGUUGUAAAGCACUUUUGUCGGGAAAGAAAAGCAGGAGGUUAAUACGGUGCGGGGAUGACGGUACCGGAAGAAUAAGCACCGGCUAACUUCGUG
rnacentral:rRNA from 1 species